rnacentral:rRNA from 1 species
UACGUAGGGGGCUAGCGUUGUCCGGAAUCAUUGGGCGUAAAGCGCGUGUAGGCGGCCCGGUAAGUCCGCUGUGAAAGUCGGGGGCUCAACCCUCGGAUGCCGGUGGAUACUGUCGGGCUCGAGUCCGGAAGAGGCGAGUGGAAUUCCUGGUGUAGCGGUGAAAUGCGCAGAUAUCAGGAGGAACACCGAUGGCGAAGGCAGCUCGCUGGGACGGUAGCUGACGCUGAGGAGCGAAAGCGUGGGGAGCGAUCCGG